AAAAACAGCCCUCGGUGCUUAUUUUAUUGUCCCCCUGCAGGUCCUUACUUUACGAGGACAGCCUCCACCUUCUUGGCAAAAGGAUUACUUUCUUUGGACACAAAGUGCCGUUAGCCGGCUCUCUGUCCGCGGUGCUUCUUCGUCGUCCUCUCUUCCCGAAGCUCUCUCACACACGCAUGUUCGUACGGGUAUUGCACUCACACCUCUGGGUGCACGAGGCGUCCGCAGUGCUUGGUAGUACAAAACGCGACCACCGGCACUUUUACGAUUGCCGUAUGCCGCAUGGUAGGAAGAGAAAAAAAAAGAAGAGUUAAGCCGAGGUACGAAACGAGGAGAAAAAACACUGGAAAAAAAGGGUUGAGCCUUCGCCUCCGUUCGUUCAUCUCCUCUGGCUGCCCAUCGCGUCAGGCAAUGAGGUACGACCCGGGAUACCGUUACAAGUCGAUGGUAGGUAAGAUCGGCUCUCCUAAGGACGUCGUCCUCCUGCGGAUGCCCAUCAUUUCUCAGUCAACGCUCGACGCCUCGAUUCUCCCAGACUCCGUGACUUCCGAUCAGCGAGUGUCUCAAGAUAUAAAUCCUCCGUGGAUGAAAACGCGAAAGUUUCUGAUUCGAUGGAUCGGGAAAGAGGAAAAGUUUUUUUUGCCAAAUGGCCGGGAACUGCGAUGACAAAAGUUGACUACACAUCCAGCCUAGUCGUUCCUGCAGCGUAUCUCAAUUGGAUUGGAUCAAGUCGCUGUUUCAACGGAGCGAUGAUAAUAUCUGCAUGUGACGAUGAAAAAGAAGAUUAAUGCAAAUCUUGCAUCUCAAUUAUUCUGACACAAACUUGGCAAGAUGGUCUACUUGGAUUCUUGCAGGAAUUUCGUUACUCCGUUCAAUAUAUUUUAUACUACGACAAUCACGUGUGAUAACAUU